rnacentral:lncRNA from 1 species
AGGUGAUGUGAUAUUUGGUGAAUGGUAUAUUUGUGUGCUACUUCAGGUCAGAGUAUGUUUUAAUGCUGCUUCAAAUAAAUAAAAUUUGGAUACAUAGCAUUGACAUAAGUUGAAUAAGUGAGAGGUGUGUCACAUUGAAUUAGGAAAGGAAUAAAAAAAUGGGGUAUUUGGUUGCAAUUAGAAUCCAACUGUUUGAGGAUAUUUGAGAUACUUUGUAAAUACUAGGAUCAAUUUUGUUGCUUAUGUCAUAAAUCUGUACAUGAGACUUGCAUAUUUAUACAAGAGUAGGUUGAUAUGUUUUGUGAAUGAAUGAGAGCCGUGUAACAUUGAAGCAAAAUUGAUACAAGUUAGAAAAAAGAAAUGCCAUAUUCGAUUACAAUUUGGAAGCAAUGGAUUAUUUAAGAUGCUUUGAAAAACA